AUGGUGUUUGGCCGGCUUUUAAGGUUUUGUUUAGUCUGUGGAGUACAAUUCUCAAUUGUCAUGAUUGCAAUUUUAUCAGGAUAAUUGGCAUAAUUUAAUUUAUAUUUCUCUAACAGGCUGCAGAGGUCUUAUCGCGCCCUAAAAGCAACUUUCUUUCACGGGGUAAAUCGGAGGCAUUUGGUGAGAAUAUUGUUAAAGAGUUCAAUUUGGAAGCCUCACAGACAUUUGAUAAUUGCAUUAGAACUGGUCCAAAAUGGUCUAUUGGUGUUAAUUCUAAGGAUGAUGUGGAUGCAGGGCUUUUAACUACAAAAAUCUUUUGCCUCGUUGAUUCACUUCUUGAAUACAGGUAUUUUAAACCUGCACCAAGGU
rnacentral:misc_RNA from 1 species